rnacentral:rRNA from 1 species
GACGAACCGUGCUAACGUUGUUCGGAAUCACUGGGCUUAAAGGGCGCGUAGGCGGGCCAUCAAGUCCGGGGUGAAAGCCCCCAGCUCAACUGGGGAAGUGCCUCGGAUACUGGCGGCCUCGAGGGAGGUAGGGGCGUGCGGAACUUCCGGUGGAGCGGUGAAAUGCGUAGAGAUCGGAAGGAACGCCGGUGGCGAAAGCGGCACGCUGGACCUCUUCUGACGCUGAGGCGCGAAAGCCAGGGGAGCAAACGGG